UACCAAUUGUUCUUGAUUAUUUAUUCUUUGAUCUACAGAUCAUAGCUCCUCAAGAUGUAAUUUCUUCUCUGGCUGAAACCUUGCAAAUCUAGCCGCUGCUCAUUCGCACUGCAGAUACUCAGAGCACUUUUCCUUUAACUUUGGAUCAUUUAUACAUCUUCAACUGCUCAGACUAAAGUUGUGGAGUUGUAACUACGGCCACUGCCAGAUCCUUGAGCAGUAAUAACAAUCAAUGGAGAAAAAUACGAGUGAAUCUAUCAUAGCUGCAUAAAAAAUUGUAGAAGGACAUAAAACGAUUUGGCUUGUAAGAAACUGGACAAUUCAAACAGAUGCCAAACACCUGCGGACAUGUACAAAUACCACAGGCUUUGUCAUCCAACAAACUUCGUUAGGUUUAUUUGAAGCUUAUGCUAUGAAGAAUUAAAAUCAUCAGAAUCCUA